AUUGAUAAGCUCAAACACAUUUUUGAAUCACCAAAAUAUCAGCAACUCAUAGCAGGCUCAGAUGAUUCUGCUGCAGUUCCCCUCUAUAGGGAAUGCAUUCAUCCCCAAAUUCCACAACUGGCAAUAAUUGGAUUCUCAGAAAGCAUAGCAAAUCUAUACACCUCAGAAAUAAGGUGCCGAUGGCUGGCAGAGCUUCUUGAUGGAAAAUUCAAGCUGCCUAGUGUAAAGAUGAUGGAGAAAGACAUA
rnacentral:misc_RNA from 1 species